GCGCAGGUAUGUAAAAGGCUGAAGCGAGCGGUCUGUAAAACCGUGACCCACGUGGUAAACAAUGCAGGUUCAAAUCCAGCCCGGCGCAC
rnacentral:tRNA from 2 species